UACGGGGGGAGCAAGCGUUGUUCGGAUUUACUGGGCGUAAAGGGCGGGUAGGCGGCCACCGCAAGUCAGUUGUGAAAUCUCCGGGCUUAACCCGGAAAGGUCAACUGAUACUGCGGGGCUAGAGUGCAGAAGGGGCAACUGGAAUUCUCGGUGUAGCGGUGAAAUGCGUAGAUAUUGGGAGGAACACCAGUGGCGAAGGCGGCUCACUGGACUGGUACUGACGCUGAGGCGCGAAAGCGUGGGGAGCAAACGGG
rnacentral:rRNA from 1 species